GAAGGUUGACCUCCACCAGGAUGCUCCAAAAAAAACGCGAUGAGGCACCGAGAUAGAUUCAUGACUACGCUAUAUUUCCUAUGUCCGACAAAAAACACAUAACAAAUUACAAGAGCCGAGAUUGCAUUACUUCUUCUGUCAUCUUUCAGAGAAAAUGUUCUUCUAAUUGCUGGAUGGGAAGCUCUACUGCCUCAAGAGGAAAAAGUUUAGAUACAGAGCCUGCCUGCCACACUCUAAAGCUCGUCCUUCUUGUCGGAAGAAGAAGAAGCAUCCUUGCUAAUUUCCUCAUCGCCGGAGGCAUCCUUGUUCUCCUCAUCGCUGGCGCCGGCAGCUUUGCCCUCAUCCUCCUGCUACAGGUAAGAGAAUGUAGUUUUGUGUUAAGAUGAGACACAUCAUAUAAGCAGUUAGAAACGUUGAGGAUAAAAUUAAAUUCAUUUGCAGCUUACAUCAGCUGCAUCGUCAUUGUCUUCGGUCUUAGUGUUUGCGGAUUCCUGACAAGGAGAAAACAGAGUAGUUAGUACUGGAUUUAGCGUAGGAGGCAGUAUAACAAACAGAAGAUGUUUGCAUAUAUACCUCCUCAAGCCUCUUCUUCUCGGCCUCAUCAAAGGCGGCCUUCUCAGCCUGCAAGGCAGAGAGUCAUUGACUUACCUCUCUACAUCAAACAUCUAAAACGAAACAAAACUGAAAAUGAAACAAAACUUAAACUGCUCGUGAUAAGAUGGCAUACAUCCUUGUGCUUGCCCCAGGUCUCCUCCGCGAACUUCUUGGCGUACUC
rnacentral:lncRNA from 1 species